rnacentral:rRNA from 1 species
UGGGGAAUAUUGCACAAUGGGGGAAACCCUGAUGCAGCGACGCCGCGUGAGCGAGGAAGUAUUUCGGUAUGUAAAGCUCUGUCAGCAGGGAAGAAGAAUGACGGUACCUGAAGAAGAAGCACCGGCUAAAUACGUGCCAGCAGCCGCGGUAAUACGUAUGGUGCAAGCGUUAUCCGGAUUUACUGGGUGUAAAGGGAGCGCAGGCGGUACUGCAAGUCUGGUGUGAAAGCCCGGGGCUCAACCCCGGGACUGCACUGGAAACUGCAGGACUGGAGUGUCGGAGGGGUAAGCGGAAUUCCUGGUGUAGCGGUGAAAUGCGUAGAUAUCAGGAGGAACACCGGUGGCGAAGGCGGCUUACUGGACGAUGACUGACGCUGAGGCUCGAAAGCGUGGGGAGCAAACAGG